rnacentral:rRNA from 1 species
UAGGGAAUUUUGCGCAAUGGGGGAAACCCUGACGCAGCAACACCGCGUGAAUGUUAAGCCCUUCGGGGUGUAGAGUUCUGUCAGUAGGGACGAAUUUUGACUGUACCUACAAAGGAAGCACCGGCUAACUCCGUGCCAGCAGCCGCGGUAAUACGUAGGGGGCAAGCGUUGUCCGGAAUGACUGGGCGUAAAGGGCGCGUAGGCGGCCUGAUAAGUCUGGAGUGAAAGUCCUGCUUUUAAGGUGGGAAUUGCUUUGGAGACUGUCGGGCUUGAGUGCAGAAGAGGUAAGUGGAAUUCCCAGUGUAGCGGUGAAAUGCUUAGAUAUCACGAAGAACUCCAAUUGCGAAGGCAGCUUGCUGGACUGUAACUGACGCUGAUGCUCGAAAGUGUGGGUAUCAAACA